rnacentral:ncRNA from 2 species
UCUGAGAAUAGAGGUGCGAGUAUGAUGAGUCACUCAUAGGAGGGUUAUGGGCCCUGUGAUUAUGAGUAAAAGGCAUACUUGCCGAAAUGAAAAGUAGCCCUACUACUUUUUGUUGGGACAGCAUUUAAGAGAUGCUGUACUGUCACAAAUCGAUCAUUUGUGGAGAACUAUUGAGGAG